rnacentral:rRNA from 1 species
UAAGACCCCUUGGAGAGUACGAGGUAGAUAGGCACGAGGUGUAAGCGCAGUAAUGUGUGCAGCUGACGUGUACUAAUCGGUCGAGGGCUUAACCACA